rnacentral:rRNA from 1 species
AUUGAACGCUGGCGGCAGGCCUAACACAUGCAAGUCGAGCGGAGCGGCGGACGGGUGAGUAAAGCCUAGGAAUCUGCCUGGUAGUGGGGGAUAACGUCCGGAAACGGGCGCUAAUACCGCAUACUAUCAGAUGAGCCUAGGUCGGAUUGGCUAGUUGGUGGGGUAAAGGCCUACCAAGGCGAAGCUCCGUAACUGGUCUGAGAGGAUGAUCAGUCACACUGGAACUUAGACACGGUCCAGACUCCUUCGGGAGGCAGCAUUGGGGAAUAGUGGACAAGGGGCGAAAGCCUGAUCCAGCCAUGCCGCGUGUGUGAAGAAGGUCUUCGGAUUGUAAAGCACUUUAAGUUGGGAGGCGUUACCAACAGAAUAAGCACCGGCUAACUUCGUGCCAGCCGCCGCGGUAAUUC